rnacentral:rRNA from 1 species
GUGCCAGCAGCGGCGGUAAUACGUAGGGUCCGAGCGUUGUCCGGAAUUAUUGGGCGUAAAGGGCUCGUAGGCGGUUUGUCGCGUCGGGAGUGAAAACAUCCAGCUUAACUGGGUGCUUGCUUUCGAUACGGGCAGACUAGAGGCAUGCAGGGGAGAACGGAAUUCCUGGUGUAGCGGUGAAAUGCGCAGAUAUCAGGAGGAACACCGGUGGCGAAGGCGGUUCUCUGGGCAUGUCCUGACGCUGAGGAGCGAAAGUGUGGGAGCGAACAGGAUUAGAUACCCUGGUAGUCCAC